CCUACGGGCGGCAGCAGUGAGGAAUAUUGGUCAAUGGACGAGAGUCUGAACCAGCCAAGCAGCGUGAAGGAAGACUGCCCUAUGGGUGGUAAACUUCUUUUAUAUGGGAAUAAAAUGUUCCACUAGUGGGAUUUUGUAUGUACCAUAUGAACAAGGAUCGGCUAACUCCGUGCCAGCAGCCGCGGUAAUACGGAGGAUCCGAGCGUUAUCCGGAUUUACUGGGUGUAAAGGGAGCUUAGGUGGAUAGUUAAGUCAGUUGUGAAAGUUAGCGGCUCAACCGUAAAAUUGCAGUUGAAACUGGCAGUCUUGAGUACAGUAGAGGUGAGCGGAAUUCCGGGUGUAGCGGUGAAAUGCUUAGAUAUCCCGAAGAACACCGAUUGCGAAGGCAGAUCACUGGACUGCAACUGACGCUGAGGCUCGAAAGUGUGGGUAUCAAACAGGAUUAGAUACCCUAGUAGUC
rnacentral:rRNA from 1 species